GUUCCGAUUAAUGAUCACAUUGUCAUGCAGUCUCGCGACGUGACAGAUACUGGUUCAGGUUUAUUUCGACCAUGACCUCCGACCUCUGACCCGGAUGAAAUUGUUUCCAAUGUUUCCGCGUGCAGACUAGAGGAUUGUUUCAAGAACAGGGCCAACAUACGGUUUUCGAGCUUUGAUAUCUUACUCCCUAACAGUGGUCCUGGUCAAGGGUUCGGCGUCAUUGCCACAAGCAAAAGCAUACGAAGAAGCCGAACACAGAGAAUAGGACCAUCCAAGGACCAACUUUAAAGUGCCACCUUCCUGGAACGGCAUAACCUGGACACGGUAACAUGACACUCCACCAGGUAACGUUAUUUUAGCCAGCGGGCUCACCAGGCUCACCAAACUAACCAGACAUGCUUCGGGAGAC